rnacentral:rRNA from 1 species
UAGUGGCGAACGGGUGAGUAACACGUGGGCAAUCUGCCCUUCACUCUGGGACAAGCCCUGGAAACGGGGUCUAAUACCGGAUAACACCUGCCCGGGCAUCCGGGUGGGUUAAAAGCUCCGGCGGUGAAGGAUGAGCCCGCGGCCUAUCAGCUUGUUGGUGAGGUAGUGGCUCACCAAGGCGACGACGGGUAGCCGGCCUGAGAGGGCGACCGGCCACACUGGGACUGAGACACGGCCCAGACUCCUACGGGAGGCAGCAGUGGGGAAUAUUGCACAAUGGGCGAAAGCCUGAUGCAGCGACGCCGCGUGAGGGAUGACGGCCUUCGGGUUGUAAACCUCUUUCAGCAGGGAAGAAGCGAAAGUGACGGUACCUGCAGAAGAAGCGCCGGCUAACUACGUGCCAGCAGCCGCGGUAAUACGUAGGGCGCAAGCGUUGUCCGGAAUUAUUGGGCGUAAAGAGCUCGUAGGCGGCUUGUCACGUCGGGUGUGAAAGCCCGGGGCUUAA